rnacentral:tRNA from 1 species
AAGGAUUUAAGUUAACCAAACUAUUGGCCUUCAAAGCCAAAAAUAGGAACGGCAUUCCUAAGCCUUA